GUGACAGAGGACGAGAGGUGAGGUAUAUAGACAGGUCACCAGUCAAUCACAGGACUCAUUCACAGCCUUAUCAAGCCUGAUCUAGUCGUAUCCUCCCUGUGAGGAGGAGUCAAUGCAAAACUCAGAUGUCUUCCACCUCUACUUAUCUGACUGCAGAGAGGAGGACAGAGGACAGUGGACACACAGUUUAACAUGAUGGACUAUAGGACAGGACUGCUGCUUUUAACCAUCUGCUGCUGGACAGGUGUUGAUGGUCAGACUCUGACAGAAUCUGAACCAGUGAUUAAAAGACCUGGAGAAUCCCACAGUCUGACCUGUGCAGCCUCUGGAUUUACAUUUAGUAGCUCUUGGAUGGCCUGGAUCAGACAGGCUCCUGGAAAAGGACUGGAGUGGAUCGCAAAUAUCGAAUAUGACAGUGAUCGCAUCUACUACUCUCAGUCAGUUCAGGGCCGGUUCACCGUCUCCAGAGACAACAACAGACAGCAGCUGUAUCUGCAGAUGAACAGUCUGAGGACUGAAGACUCUGCUGUUUAUUAUUGUGCUCGAGACCCACAGUGACUGGAGUUGGUUGAGCAGCUGUACAAAAUCCUACAGGAUUCAUUC